CCUACGGGCGACAGCAGUGAGGAAUAUUGGUCAAUGGGCGCGAGCCUGAACCAGCCAAGCCGCGUGAGUGAAGACGGUCCUAUGGAUUUUAAACCUCUUUUGUCGGGGAGCAAAAGACGCCACGCGUCGCGUUCCGAGAGUACCCGAAGAAAAAGCAUCGGCAAACCCCGUGCCAGCAGCCGCGGUAAUACGGAGGAUGCGAUCGUUAUCCGCAUCUAGCGGGGUAAAGGGGUGCGCAGGCGGAAGAGCAAGUCAGCGGUAAAAUUGAGAGGCUCAACCACGUCGAGCCGUUGAAACUGGUUUUCUUGAGUGAGCGAGAGGUAUGCGGAAUGCGUGGUGUAGCGGUGAAAUGCAUAGAGAUCACGCGGAACUCCGAUUGCGAAGGCAGCAUACCGGCGCUCAACUGACGCUCAUGCACGAAAGUGUGGGGAGCGAACAGGAUUAGAUACCCGGGUAGUC
rnacentral:rRNA from 1 species